rnacentral:rRNA from 1 species
ACGAACGCUGGCGGCGUGCUUCACACAUGCAAGUCGCACGGAAAGGCCCUGCUUUUGUGGGGUGCUCGAGUGGCGAACGGGUGAGUAACACGUGAGUAACCUGCCCUUGACUUUGGGAUAACUUCAGGAAACUGGGGCUAAUACCGGAUAGGAGCUCCUGCUGCAUGGUGGGGGUUGGAAAGUUUCGGCGGUUGGGGAUGGACUCGCGGCUUAUCAGCUUGUUGGUGGGGUAGUGGCUUACCAAGGCUUUGACGGGUAGCCGGCCUGAGAGGGUGACCGGCCACAUUGGGACUGAGAUACGGCCCAGACUCCUACGGGAGGCAGCAGUGGGGAAUAUUGCACAAUGGGCGGAAGCCUGAUGCAGCAACGCCGCGUGCGGGAUGACGGCCUUCGGGUUGUAAACCGCUUUCGCCUGUGACGAAGCGUGAGUGACGGUAAUGGGUAAAGAGGCACCGGCUAACUACGUG